rnacentral:rRNA from 1 species
UGGGGAAUUUUGGACAAUGGGGGCAACCCUGAUCCAGCAAUGCCGCGUGCGGGAAGAAGGCCCUAGGGUUGUAAACCGCUUUUGUCAGGGAAGAAAAGCUCUGUGCUAAUACCACGGGGUGAUGACGGUACCUGAAGAAUAAGCACCGGCUAACUACGUGCCAGCAGCCGCGGUAAUACGUAGGGUGCAAGCGUUAAUCGGAAUUACUGGGCGUAAAGAGUGCGUAGGCGGCUAUGCAAGACAGGUGUGAAAUCCCCGGGCUUAACCUGGGAACUGCACUUGUGACUGCAUGGCUAGAGUACGGCAGAGGGGGAUGGAAUUCCGCGUGUAGCAGUGAAAUGCGUAGAUAUGCGGAGGAACACCGAUGGCGAAGGCAAUCCCCUGGGCCUGUACUGACGCU